rnacentral:rRNA from 1 species
GACGAACGCUGGCGGCGUGCUUAACACAUGCAAGUCGAGCGGUAAGGCCCUUCGGGGUACGACGAGCGGCGAACGGGUGAGUAACACGUGGGUGACCUGCCUCUAGCUCUGGGAUAAGCCUGGGAAACUGGGGUCUAAUACCGGAUAUGACUCCACGGCGCAUGUUGUGGGGUGGAAAGCCUUGUGUGGCUAGAGAUGGGCCCGCGGCCUAUCAGCUUGUUGGUGGGGUGAUGGCCUACCAAGGCGACGACGGUAGCCGGCCUGAGAGGGCGACCGGCCACACUGGGACUGAGACACGGCCCAGACUCCUACGGGAGGCAGCAGUGGGGAAUCUUGCGCAAUGGGCGAAAGCCUGACGCAGCGACGCCGCGUGAGGGAUGACGGCCU